UACGUAGGGGCCUAGCGUUGUCCGGAUUUAUUGGGCGUAAAGAGCUCGUAGGCGGCUUGGUUAGUCAGGUGUGAAAUCUCCACGCUCAACGUGGAGGGGCCACCUGAUACUGCCAUGGCUUGAGUCCGGUAGGGGAGUGUGGAAUUCCCGGUGUAGCGGUGAAAUGCGCAGAUAUCAGGAGGAACACCGGUGGCGAAGGCGGGUCUCUGGGCCGAAACUGACGCUGAGGAGCGAAAGCGUGGGGAGCGAACAGG
rnacentral:rRNA from 1 species